GAUGAACGCUGGCGGCGUGCUUAACACAUGCAAGUCGAACGGUGAACACGGAGCUUGCCCUGUGGGAUCAGUGGCGAACGGGUGAGUAACACGUGAGCAACCUGCCCCUGACUCUGGGAUAAGCGCUGGAAACGGCGUCUAAUACUGGAUAUGUGACGUUACCGCAUGGUCUGCGUUUGGAAAGAUUUUUCGGUUGGGGAUGGGCUCGCGGCCUAUCAGCUUGUUGGCGAGGUAUUGGCUCACCAAGGCGUCGACGGGUAGCCGGCCUGAGAGGGUGACCGCCCUCAAUGGGCCUGCGGCAGGGACCAGUAUCCUACGGGAGGCAGCGGUGGAGAGUAUUGCGCAGUGGGCGCAAGCCUGAUACGGCAGCCCCGCGUGAGGAAUACCGGCCUUCGAGUUAUAAACCUUUUUUAGCAGAGAAGAAGAGAAAGUGACGGUACCUAAAGAGAAAGCGCCGGCUAACUACGUG
rnacentral:rRNA from 1 species